rnacentral:rRNA from 1 species
AGGAUGAACGCUGGCGGCGUGCCUAAGACAUGCAAGUCGAGUGGGUUUAGACCCACGGCGAACGGGUGAGUAAUACCUAGGAACUUUCUUUAAGUGGAGCAUAACCAGUCGAAAGAUUGGAUAAUACUUCAUGUGACCGCAAGGUUAAAGUCGCAAGACGCUUAAAGUGAGGCCUGGGCACCAUCAGCUAGUUGGUAAGGUAAUGGCUUACCAAGGCUAUGACGGUUAGGGGUCCCGAGAGGGAUAACCCCCGACACUGGAACUGCGACACGGUCCAGACUCCUACGGGAGGCAGCAGUUUGGAAUUUUGGACAAUGGGCGAAAGCCUGAUCCAGCGACGCCGCGUGGACGAUGAAGGCCUUCGGGUCGUAAAGUCCUUUUGCUCGGGAACAUAUUUUGAGCGUACCGAGAGAAUAAGAGGUUGCUAACUCUGCGCCAGCAGCCGC